rnacentral:rRNA from 1 species
AGAGUUUGAUCCUGGCUCAGGAUGAACGCUAGCGGCAGGCUUAAUACAUGCAAGUCAAGGGGGUAGCAAUACAACCGGCGCACGGGUGAGUAACGCGUACACAACAUACCAUAUACUGGGGUAUAGCUUUGGGAAACUGAAGGUAAUCCCCCAUAACAUUGCGAGAGGGCAUCUGAUUGCAAUUAAAGUUUCGGCGGUAUAUGAUUGGUGUGCGUUUGAUUAGCUAGUUGGUAGGGUAACGGCCUACCAAGGCGACGAUCAAUAGCUGGCGUGAGAGCGCGACCAGCCACACUGGAACUGAGACACGGUCCAGACUCCUACGGGAGGCAGCAGUAGGGAAUAUUGGACAAUGGAGGAAACUCUGAUCCAGCCAUGCCGCGUGAUAGAUGAAGGCCCUCUGGGUUGUAAAUAUCUUUUAUCUGGGAAGAAACAAUCUUAUUCUUAAGAUCUUGACGGUACCAGAGGAAUAAGCACCGGCUAACUCCGUG